GAUGAACGCUGGCGGCGUGCUUAACACAUGCAAGUCGAACGAAGCUGUUGUUUGGAGACCUUCGGGUGGAAGAAUGACAGACUGAGUGGCGGACGGGUGAGUAACGCGUGGGUAACCUACCUUGCACAGGGGGACAACAGUUGGAAACGACUGCUAAUACCGCAUAAGACCACAGUACCGCAUGGUACAGGGGUAAAAACUGAGGUGGUGCAAGAUGGACCCGCGUCUGAUUAGCUAGUUGGUGGGGUAAAGGCCUACCAAGGCGACGAUCAGUAGCCGACCUGAGAGGGUGAUCGGCCACAUUGGGACUGAGACACGGCCCAAACUCCUACGGGAGGCAGCAGUGGGGAAUAUUGGACAAUGGGGGGAACCCUGAUCCAGCGACGCCGCGUGAGUGAAGAAGUAUUUCGGUAUGUAAAGCUCUAUCAGCAGGGAAGAAAAUGACG
rnacentral:rRNA from 1 species